GCAUUUUUAACCAGGUUUUCCGAAGGAAAAAACUGGUUAUUAGAUUGGCGAAUGCGGGCGGGCUGGCUGGCUGGCGGGCUGGCUGGCUGGCGGGCUGGCUGGCUGGCUGGCGGGCUGGCGGAAUAAGCUUGUCCGGGCCAUAACUAUGUCGUUCAUUGUCAGAUUUUAAAAUCAUUUGGCACAUUUGUUCACCAUCAUUGGACGGUGUGUCGGGCGAAAUAAUUACGUUGAUAUCUCCAAGGUCAAGGUCACACUUUGAGUUCAAAGGUCAAAAAUGGCCAUAAAUGAGCUUGUCCGAGCCAUAACUAUGUCGUUCAUCGUCAGAUUUUAAAAUCAUUUGGCACAUUUGUUCACCAUCAUUGGACGGUGUGUCGCGCGAAAUAAUUACGUCGAUAUCUCCAAGGUCAAGGUCACACUUGGAGUUCAAAGGUCAAAAA